rnacentral:rRNA from 1 species
CCUACGGGUGGCUGCAGUGGGGAAUAUUGCACAAUGGGGGAAACCCUGAUGCAGCGACGCCGCGUGAGUGAAGAAGUAAUUCGUUAUGUAAAGCUCUAUCAGCAGGGAAGAAAAUGACGGUACCUGAGUACGAAGCCCCGGCCAACUACGUCCCAGCAGCCGCGGUCAUACGUAGGGGGCAAGCGUUAUCCGGAUUUACUGGGGGUAACGGGAGCGUAGACGGCAGUGCAAGUCUGGAGUGAAAGGCGGGGGCUCAACCCCCGGACUGCUCUGGAGACUGUACGGCUGGAGUGCAGGAGGGGUGAGUAGAAUUCCUAGUGUAGCGGUGAAAUGCGUAGAUAUUAGGAGGAACACCGGUGGCGAAGGCGGCUUACUGGACUGUAACUGACGUUGAGGCUCGAAAGCGUGGGGAGCAAACAGGAUUAGAUACCCGGGUAGUC